ensembl:lncRNA
UGUCAUACGGUGAGACUUUAACUGACAGAGAGGAUGCUCAAGUCGAUUCAAAGAAGUUUCAUACUGACUUGAAUAUUUCUGCUCCGUGCUAUUACCCCCAACUAAAACCCGACCAGGGCGUGUCUGCAACUGAACAUCUUGCGCAAUAUUUAGCUCGACGUGACCUGGUGAGCGCAAGCUUGUAUGAGUUUGACGAUAAACCGGAAAAUUAUCGUGCUUGGCAGUCUUCAUAUAAAAAUGCUACACAAGGGCUGGCUUUCACUGCGACUGAGGAGCUAGACUUAAUGACUCGAUGGCUUGGCAAAGAAUCCAGCAACCAAGUGAAACGCCUGCGUUCAGUGCAUGUAGCAAGUCCAGACAUAGCACUCAGAAAAGCCUGGGAACGUCUUCAGGAAUGCUACGCAGCACCAGAGGUAGUUGAAAAAGCCCUCUUCACUCGACUCGAUAAGUUCCCUAAAGUUUCGGCGAAGGAAAAUCUGAAGCUAAGGGAGCUAGCAGAUCUGCUGAUGGAAGUGCAGUGUGCUAAGGAAGACGGCUACUUUCCAGGUUUGUCCUACCUGGAUACUGCACGAGGCAUUGAACCUAUAGUAGCCAAACUGCCUUAUGGACUUCAAGAAAAAUGGAUCUCUGCGGGUUCAAAGUAUAAAGAAGAAAAUGGAGGACGGUUUCCACCAUUUGAAUUCUUUACCAGAUUCAUCUGCUAUGAGGCAAAGAAAAGGAAUGAUCCCAGUUUUGCCUUUUUAAAUGCUAGUGGAUCUUCUGUAAAGGUUGAAAGUCCCUAUCUUAAAAGCACCAAGAACCCCAUUGCAGUUCAUAAGACCAAUUUCUCCCCAGCAGAGUCAAGCACUUCCAGUGAUCCAAAUAAGAGCUGCCCAAUACAUGCAAAGCCACAUCCACUGAAGAAGUGCAAAGCCUUUAGAGCAAAAGACCUUCAAGACAGGAAAGCCUUUCUGAAAGAGAGAGGAUUCUGCUUUAAGUGCUGUGGCUCAAAUAGUCAUGUGGCGAAGGACUGCACUGCAGUAGUGAAAUGUUCUGAGUGUGACAGCACCAAACAUGUCUCCGCUAUGCAUCCGGGCCCUCCACCACAGACCACAGCUCCUGUAACCUCAUCGCAGAAUGGCGGGGAGGGAGAAGAGGGUAAUGACAGUAGGGAAGUCGUCAGUUCAAGCUGUACUGAAGUAUGUGGUGCAGGACAAGUUGGGAGGUCAUGUUCCAAGAUAUGCCUAGCAAAGGUGUAUCACAAGGGCUCUCCAGAUAAAGCCAUCAAGGCAUAUAUCGUUUUAGAUGACCAAAGCAACCGGUCAUUGGCGACGUCUAGUUUCUUUGACCUUUUCAACGUUCAGAGUAAGCCAUAUCCUUACUUAUUGAGAACGUGUUCCGGCACAGAGGAAACAUUUGGCAGAAGGGCUGAAGAUUUUAUGGUCAAAGCACUUGAUGGGAAAGUGACAAUCCCUCUCCCCCCACUUAUUGAAUGUAAUGACUUACCUGACAACCGGGCUGAAAUUCCCACGCCGAACGCCGCUCUUCAUCAACCUCACCUCGUCAAAGUAGCAGAACACAUUCCCGAGUUGGACCCCACUGCGGAG